GCGGAAGUUCGUUGCAAUAAGGGGGAUUUGUUAUUGAAAAUGUGUUUUAAUCGCCCACCUGUCGAGAUUGUUGAUCCAGAAUUGGAUCCUUUACCGAUCCUGCUGGAGAAGGUUCUCAUCGAAGUACAAGCUCGCUGGUACUCGGAUUCGGACCCGAUCCUUUUUUUCGUGACCAACCAGUAUAAGGUCGAUUGGAUCCAUUCUGUAGCACCACCGUCAUCCCCGCUGGGUGCCGAUGGUCGUGUUCCUACCCUAUUGGAGUAUAUCGUGGUCAAUUUACACUUGAAUUUUACUGAUAAUACCGAGGUUCGUGACAGUUAUUUGUUGGAAAUUUGGAGAAAUUUUCGUGACAUUCGAGAAAACAGGAAUAAUUUACGAUUAUUAAAUUCAAAUUUAAAAGAUUCCUCUAUCGCCUGGCUGUUCAAAAGGCGUCAAUGAUUGUAAAUUUUGAAGAAUAAAUUUUGACUGGAUUCCCAAAAUGUUGUAAUUUUAUUUUGUUAUUUCUCAAGAGUUUUCUCAUUAUAUUUUAUUCUUUAACUUUUACUUCUUUUCUGUAAUAACUCUCUCACGGCUAGCGCUUCUCAUUACUGCUGACUAGCCGUUUAUGCGCAAAGUCAGUCAUUCAGUCAUCUGGUUUGAAGCUAACAUAAUGUGCGUGUCUUUUGGUCAAAAGUACGACCUUGGGGAUCCCAUUUAUUAUUUUGUAAGAACCUAUGCCAAAUUCACUUAUAUUCGGAGAAUUUUUGCAAUCUGGGAUCCCAGGAUUCAUAUUUGUGAAUGUUAUUACUCGUGUGGUGUACGCAAUAAUCUGAUACACGUAAGUGUUCAAGUGUUAAGUCAAGGUUAAUUGUGUUUAUAACGUUAUUAUUCCUAUUC